rnacentral:lncRNA from 1 species
GCCAGUUAGGAAGAACAGGGCAGCUGAGUAUUAAAGGGAUUAUCCUCAAGAAAUACAACAGGAAAUGGGGGCAGAGUUUAGAAACAGUGACAGAAGGAAACAUUGUAAGAUGAAUUAGGUAAGAUUUGCAAGAGUCAACAGUGAGGAAACCAAGAGCUAGAACAUGGCACAGAACACAAAACCAGAGAAGAGCUUGGUUANNNNNNNNNNNNNNNNNNNNNNNNUACGAUAAGAAAAGGCAAGAGACGAAAUUAUUCCAAUGGUGCAGGAAACUCACUUGCCUGGAAAAUUCAUAAGGAAAGGGCAGAUACAUUAACAUCGUCAACAGAGGAGGCAAAAACAAAGAUAGAUGACAAUAGAGAAUCUGAUGACGUCCCACACUCUGUUUCAACACAGGAAAGGAUCCAGGAGAGGGAGAAGGAACUGUACAAUAUUGAGAAGAGAAGAGAUUGUUGGAAGCUUCAGAUUCCGUGUGCUUUCCACCAGCGAGCCCUAUAAAGUGGCCGACAUCAACAGAGACAAGAAGGAAGUGUGAGUUAAAGAUUUCACUUUUGUUUUGGGUUUAAAAUGAAGCGACGGUGUUUCCUACAACCCAUUUCUUUAGCUUUCAGACUGUCUAGAGUGUCUUGCCUUUGAGGCCAGUACUGAGGUGAGCUUAUCACAAUUUCCAUGGCCUGAGGCCUACAGCUUCACCUCGGGCUCCUACCAUUUGGCUCAAGUUCAGCUUUUCUCCAGCUUCUGCCCUCCUCCCCAGCCUCCUGGGGAGGCUCUGUUGCCUGAUCUUUAUUGCUCUUUUCCCACACUCCAUUAUACAGCGUGAUAUCAGCCUCUGAAUUUAUUUAUUAGGACUCAAGUCUACAAUAUACAACCCCACUUUUCCUGUCUGACACGGCACCUUCGCAGCAGAGGGGGCAAGAGGCGCUGCUUGUCAUAAACAGUGGUAGAAAGUCGGCACCCAGAGGGGAAGGGCCAGAGGCUUGCAAAAGAGCCAGCCCUCUUGGAGGCCCCUCAGAGCCAAAUUGGUUUUUCAAAGUUUCACACUUAUAGUUCCACGGUCCAGACGGGCAGCCACAAACAGCUCCUUGUGGGGGAGUGCAUUUGCAGUUGGCAGCCUUAUACUCACAUGUCUGGCCUUCACUUGGGACAAUGGCUCCAUUUUUUAAAAAUUAGCUUUUUGCCUAAUAAGCUUAAUCUUUGUCAUUGAUGUUCCCAUUCAAUAUGUAUAAAUAAUCUGCAAACCUAGAUUGUGUAUUUUUUUAAGAAACAGGUAAUUCAUUUACAUUGUGUAUAACUCAAAAGGGUAGUAAAAAUAUGUAUUUGUUGAGAAGUCUCACUCCCACCCCUGACUAAGUGGAUUCAUCCCCAUCCCUACCCACUAUGUGUAACCACUUGUAUUAGUGUUUUUAUGUCUUUUCAGUGCUUCUUUUUCUACCUGUUUUUAAAAUAAGCCUUUUAUUUUAGAAUAGCUUUAGAUUUACAGAAGCAUUGCAAAGAUAAUAUAAAAAGCUUUCGCAUUCUUCUCAUCCAAUUUCUUCUACUGGUGUUAUCUUAUACUACCAUGUAUAUUUGUCACAACCAAGAAAUGAGCAUUGUAUGUAAGUAUGAACUAAAUUUUACACUAUGUAUCUUUCAUGAACAUCCUUUUUCCGGUCCAGGAUCCCACUAGCAUGCUACACUGGUCAUCAGGUCUUUCUUGGCUCCUCUUGGUUGUGAUAGUUUUACCGAUUUUUACUUUUCUUUAAAUUAAAUUUUUACUGGAUAAAGUUGGUUGAUAAAAAUGAAAGAGGAGAGUGAAAAAGUUGGCUUAAAGCUCAACAU